rnacentral:misc_RNA from 1 species
GCGGGCUUUAGACGAGUUCGGAUAGCGCGGGUGGCAGCAGCCAUGUGUCCCGGAAACCAGUUAACGACUCCACCCUCUGCGUUGAAACCCAUCUCCCCCAAACCCUUCUUCACUAGACCCUUUAACCCUCCCAUUUACACUCUCUCUCACUCUCUCUACCAAUCAAUCAGACUCUGUGUACUGUAUAGGUCUUCUGCUCCAAAACGCUAA